UACGUAGGAGGCGAGCGUUGUCCGGAUUUACUGGGCGUAAAGGGCGCGCAGGCGGCCCACCAAGUACGAUGUGAAAUCUCCCUGCUCAACGGGGAGGGUGCACUGUAAACUGGUGAGCUAGAGGACGGUAGAGGGGGGUGGAAUUGCUGGUGUAGCGGUGAAAUGCGCAGAUAUCAGGAGGAACACCUGCGGUGUAGACGGCUUACUGGACCGGCAUUGACGCUGAAUAGCGAAAGCCAGGGGAGCAAACGGG
rnacentral:rRNA from 1 species